GACGAACGCUGGCGGCGUGCUUAACACAUGCAAGUCGAACGAAGUGGCGAACGGGUGAGUAAUACGUGGGUAACCUGCCCUCCUUUUUGGGAUAAGCCUUGGAAUCGGGGUCUAAUACCGAAUAAAGGGGGAUGGGCUCGCGGCCUAUCAGCUUGGUGGGGGGGUGGUGGCCUACCAAGGCGGUGACGGGUAGCCGGCCUGAGAGGGUGACUGGCCACGUUGGGAGUGCGAUACUGCCCAGGCUCCUACGAGUGGGGGCUGUGGGAGAUAUUGCGCAAUGCGCGAAAACCCGUUGCGGCGGCGCCGCGUGGGGGAUGAAGUCUUACGGUUUGUAAACCUCUUACGCUGUCGAACCGGUAGGUGCAGAAGAAGCGCCGGCUAACUACGUGCCAGCAGCCGCGGUAAUAC
rnacentral:rRNA from 1 species